rnacentral:misc_RNA from 1 species
CAACAUGCAAAGGCAUAAUAAAAUUGCGAUUUUAUUUAACCAGAAUACUGUUUGCUACAUGGGAAUUGCAAAUUUGAAGAACAAAUAAUUAAAUUGCUUGCCAACAUGACAAGGCAUUCAUCCACGUUCUACUUCACACCAAACAUGGAUCAAAGCAUGCUUGCUAAAGUUUGAAGAUUAAAUGGCCUAAUUGUUGAGUUCUUUCCACCCCAUAAGACCUUGGAGAUUAGCUUGUAAGUGUGCUCCGAUGGAUGGAAGUAAUCCCAGAACAAGUACGUCUCUGGAUUUGGACAUAUCUUGUAACCCUCCUUCCCACAUUUUAGCAAUCCUCUAAGAGGCCCAUCUCCACAACAUGCACCCAUUACAUUGGUAAAACCAUAUCGUGCUGGAGUGGCUCGAUAUCGCUGAACAGCAUCAUAAACUGCACCAUAAACACCAACUGCGCCAGGAUACCUGACAGGAAUAUCUUUAAACAAGCUUUCCAAGCCCUCGUUAUAUUUCUUAACCAUUACAUUCAUCCUCCCGAAACAUUUCUCAACAGGUGCAUUCGGCACAAAAACCCUGGCCGGAACGCAGCCAACAGGACCUAGUGAAAAAACAGCAAUCCGGCGACCACCGAGCCUAUAAAUAUGGCCCAUCAAAUUUUCUACCUCUCUUAACAUGGCCUGUACGUAUGCGUCAGGAUCAAGUGUUGGGGUGCCAAAGGGGAGGAAAUAGUUGAAGAUAUCAUUAGAGCCAGACUCGAAAAAGAAAAGGGAUUUGUCUAGCAGAUUUUUAUCUAUGUGCUUUUUCUGAACUAAUGCUUGAAAUUUCUGUAGCUGUUCCUGGAUUGGUACGACUCCCGAAUCCUGAUUUGUUUGCCGCAGAACACCGCUGCCAGCGCUGGCAAAGUUGAUGCCAUUGGAUGGAUAAUUCCUCCUACUUCCAUUCAUAACUGCUAGCCUUGCCUCCAGGUACGGUGAUUGGAGUUCAAUUCCAAGAAAUUGUGAGAUGAAGUCCGCAACAGUUCUGCCAUUGGUGAACCUGCCAGUAGGGUGGUGGAAAAACGUAGAUCCAUAGGGUGGGAAAUCGGCCUGGACACUACAAUUCUUGUUAAAAUGGUUGUUUCCAGCAUCAACAAUGGAGUUCCCAAAUGUGAAAAUUGCUGGAACAUUGUAUGAUGAUAUUGAUAUAGGUAAAGAGCAUGAUGAUAAGAGGAAGAGAAGUAGGAGAAAUGGUUUAUCCAUUUAUACAAGCAAAUAAUUAAAUUAGAUUUCUUUGGAGGGGGGUGCGGAGUGGUAGAGCUAAAGGGAAACUAAUUAACAUGAACAAAUA